ACGGUAAGGAGGCCGGCCGAUGGGUCCGC
rnacentral:sRNA from 1 species